AACUCAGGAUCUGAAGGAGGAAGCC
rnacentral:piRNA from 1 species